AUUACUCGUGUUUGUGGUGCUGCUGGUGUAAGCAAAUCUGCUUUAUAAACUUUAUAAAGUAAAAAGAUUAUAGAAAGCUAAGGCUAAUUUAUUAUUGAAGAAAGAUAAGUAUUUUAAAAUACUCACCCAGAGAAACUUCCAGUCCUGCAAGCUUCAUUUAUGAUGGAGCCUCUCUUUGUCACCAGGCUGGAGUACAGUGGCACAAUCUUGGCUCACUGCAACCUCUGCCUCCCGGUGAAAUGUAAAGCCAGCUGGACUUCCUGGGUCGAGUGGGGACUUGGAGAACUUUUCUUACAAGAGGAUUGUAAAAUGCACCAAUCCGCAGUCUGUAGCUAAGAUUGUAAAACGCACCAAUCAGUGCUCUGUAGCUAGCAAGAGGUUGUAAAAUGCACCAAUCAGUGCUCUGUAAAAACGCACCAGUGUUCUGUAGCUAGCAAGAGGUUUGUAAAAUGGACCAAUCAGCACUCUGUAAAAUGGACCAAUGAGCAGGAGUCUAAAAGUAACCAAUCACGGGGAGGAUUGAGAAAAGGGCAUUCUGAUAGGACAGAAACAGGAAAUGGGGGGAUACAAAUAAGGGAAUAAAAGCUGGCCACCCCAGCCCGCCGCAGCAACCCACUUGGGUCCCCUUCCAUGCUGUGGAAGCUUUGUUCUUUCGCUGUUCGCAAUAAAUCUUGCUGCUGCUCACUCUUUGGGUCCAUGCCAUCUUUAAGAGCUGAAACACUCACUGCGAUGGUCCACGGCUCCAUUCUUGAUGUCAGCAAGACCACGAACCCACCGGAAGAAACCAACUCCAGACACACCAGGUUCAACUGAUUAUCCUGCCUCAGUCUCUUGAGUAGCUGGGACUACAGUUCAGGGUCAUGGAUGGCCUCCCAUGACCCUAUCCCAGCAGCUCAGGAUGCAAGGCGAGAAUUAACGCGAACAGGAUGCCAUUCCAUCUCAGGGUCAUUCACCCACACACACACACUCACUGAGGCUGGGACCAGUGAGACACAACUAUUCACCUAAUGUGCACAGCUUUGGGAUAUGGGAGGAAACUGGAGUAUCCAAGAAACCCCACGAAGGCAUGGGGAGAACAUGCAAAUUUUGCACAGACAGUGACCCUGGUCAGAAAUCAAAUUUUUUCUUCAUCAAUUUUAUAGCAAAACGAUGUCGAGUAAAAUGACAUUAUCUGAAGACCUGCUGUACUACGAUGCCAUUGUGGAAGAAACUCAGAGGAAGGGAAAGCAAACUGAAAGACUGAGCAUUGACAUCCCCAAAGAGAUGAAGUUAUCUUUGAGAGACUAUUAUACACUCCCCAGAGGUCUGAGAUGCUGUUAAUUACUUAAUUUAGGCUUUUCCUUUGGCCUUGAUGGAUGAAGGGCUAGGAUAAAUAGAUGUUAUAAAAAUUUUUUUAAAUACUUCUCUUAAGAUUUGAGAAAUAGAGUGUUCAAUCAUUGACUCUACCACACAGAUAUUUUUACAAAUAUCAAUUUGUUUCUCUUCCCUCUUAGAUAGUGAGUACACUGUAGGCAGAUCUGAUUUUUUUGUUGUUUUUUUUUACCCCUCAGAAUUGGUAGACACUAGACACCUUUUUAGUAAGUGAAUAAAUGUGUAUCUAAUUCAGAAAGGCCUGAAGGAUUGUUUUAAAAAUACACAUUUUGCUGGUUAGGCUUUAAGAUAAACAGACAUGAAAAGUGCAAUGAAGACACACAUCUUGUUGAGAAAUAAAGUUUUAGGUGAAAAGGUGAAUAGUUAAGAAUCUGCAAAUAUAGAAAAAUCAAGACGUACAAGGGUUAUUGUGUUGAAUUAUAUUGGACCUUCGAUCUCAAAUGCCAUUAACAACAAUAUGGGCAAUAAGAAUGUUUUAAUCCUCACUUCUUGUGCUGUCUGACUCAGUAUUUAUACUUUUUAUUUGAUCUUCAAUAAAGCUCCCUUUGUUCUCAUAC
rnacentral:lncRNA from 1 species